rnacentral:rRNA from 1 species
UUUGAAAUCUGGCAGUCUUCGAUUGUCCGAGUUGUAAUCUAUAGAGGCGUUUUCCGUGCCGGACCGUGUCCAAGUCUCCUGGAAAGGAGUAUCAAAGAGGGUGAUAAUCCCGUACUUAACACGACCACCGGUGCUCUGUGAUACGUCUUCUACGAGUCGAGUUGUUUGGGAAUGCAGCUCAAAAUGGGUGGUGAAUUCCAUCUAAAGCUAAAUAUUGGCGAGAGACCGAUAGCGAACAAGUACCGUGAGGGAAAGAUGAAAAGCACUUUGGAAAGAGAGUUAAACAGUACGUGAAAUUGUUGAAAGGGAAACGAUUGAAGUCAGUCGUGUUCUUUGGAUUCAGCCAGUUCUGCUGGUCUACUUCCUUGGAACGGGUCAACAUCAGUUUUGUCCGGUGGAUAAAGGUAGUAGGAAUGUGACUUCUCCGGAAGUGUUAUAGCCUAUUAUCACAUACACUGGGUGAGACUGAGGACUGCAGCUCGCCUUUAUGGCCGGUCUUCGGACACGUUCGAGCUUAGGAUGUUGACAUAAUAGG